AGACGCGUCCGUUAUUUUUUGCUACGUCUCUUCUUCUUGGUUCUUCAACUGCCCUCUUACCUUUUCACUUCUUUAUUAUUCACAACCCACACUGACUGAAGCACAAAAUCAAGAUAAACGAUUACCUUUUUCCUUAGUUUUUCGGGUUUUAUCCCUAUGUCUCCUUUGAUUAUGUGCUAAAUUAUAAAACGAAUAGCCUUAUUUGUUUAGUACACCGUUUCGUCGUCUCUUCUUCUUCAAUUACAAUUGUCAGCCUCUUCUUCCCUUUCUCUUCGUCCUCUAUCUCACUCUCGCCUAAAGUAAAACUCCUUCAACGCCUUCCUCUUCUCCUCUUCUUCACCUUCUGUUUUGGAGUAAAUUUUAUUUUCACUCGCCAGAGAUAAUUUAUCUCUGUUCCCGUUGUUUCUCCCAAUAGGUGAAUCUCUCUUUUUCUUUAGUAUAGUUGUUCCCUUAUGUUUACUUGUUGUUUCAUGUUUCCGUGAUUGUUCAUAUUGUUUUUUACCUUUUAUUUCGCAAAGAAUUGAUUGUUUUUGGGCUUCAUUUUUCACCCUACUCUGUUAAAAUUGAAGGAAAAGAAAAGAUUACCAUGAUGUAUAAGAAGUCAAGUAGUAAAAUCAAAGGUAAAAUAAAAGAUUGACCUCUUCUCAAUCUGCAUAAUAAAUACCGUGGUGUCAUUCGCACCCAACCCCGCGCUUACCUGUUUGUAUGUGUCAAUUAUUUUUCUCUGUCUACUUUUUUUAUUCUGACUUUUUCUUAUAAGAUGUCAAUUGUAAUAGAAGAUUUUGGGUUCUCAUAUAGGAGUUUAGCAGAAACUGGGAAAAACGUUACUUCUUCGUACAUUGAACUAGGAGUUGCUAAAUGUCAUAGACAAGCAUAAGUCCUUGAAGACGGUCUUUGCUCUUCCAGGAAUUGAAAUAGCUAAAAUUCCCUUCAUUUUUCACUAAUCAAGUUUGUGAACCUAUGUCGUUCAGUUGGACAGUUAUCGUGAAAACAAAAUAACUUGAAAAAAAAAAAAGAGAAAGAGCGAAAAAACUGAAGCAGCAGCGUAUUUUAUUUUAUUUUUGGUUGAGAAUAUGACUUGUGAAAAAAAUACCAAAUGUGCAGGUGGUGAAAAAAGAAUAUGUUUUAAAGCUGUAAUAUAAACUUGGUGAUGUGCUAUUCUCAGUUUAUUAAUUCGAUGUCAUUUUUACAUCUUCAUAUGGCAAAUUGUCAGUGUGCAUCGCUUGCCAUGCUCCGAUAUUAUUUAGGGGAAGAGCUGAAAUUUUUUAAAAAGGAGAAGGAUUUAUAUUUGAUUUUUUAUUAUAAGAGUUGAUUUUAGAAAAUUGACAUUACCGUUCUGUCACUUGAAAAUGAAGGUAAGACAAUAUAUGAAACAAAAAAUACACCUACAGGCAAUUAAAGAUAAAUAUUUUUUUCUUGGUCCGAGAUAGGUUCCACGAAAAGUCUGCAAAUUCGAGUUCUCUCACUCUUUCCUAUAAUUAUUGUUAUUAAUCUGUAGUAAUUGGUGCACUACUGGAGAUUCAGGAAAGUUACUCAUCUAGACUCAAACUGUUAUCGCAGUUCUGAUGCAAGUGGAAAAUCACUGGAAACACAGAGAAAAUUAAUAGAUCCCAAUCUCGAGAGAGGGAAAAACUGCCUAAGCUAUUGAUGUUUUUCUUUCAGUUGGGGGAAGAAGAGACACACAUUUGUUCCUCGAAAAAGAAGAGGGUUCUAAAUUUAGCUGAACAAAAUUUGGAAUUUAUAGGCCAUAGUCAUUCAUAAAAAUUUGACGGGUGGCCGUUAAUUUAUUUAUUUUCAUUUUUCUCUAACAGUGCAGUUUUGCGCUUUUGUGGUUGGUGCCAAUUUGCUAAUUGCAAAGGUGUGGUAAUGAUUGUGUAUUUGUAAAGAGUUAGCAAGUGAAAAUUACAUCGGAAAUCCGAA